rnacentral:rRNA from 1 species
UCCGGAAACGGGUGCUAAUACCGCAUAGUUUUCUUGAUUGCAUGAUUGAGAAAGGAAAGACGGGCCUUUGUGCUGUCGCUUAUGGAUGGACCCGCGGCGUAUUAGUUAGUUGGUGAGGUAACGGCUCACCAAGACGAUGAUACGUAGCCGACCUGAGAGGGUGAUCGGCCACAUUGGGACUGAGACACGGCCCAAACUCCUACGGGAGGCAGGCAGUAGGGAAUCUUCCGCGAAUGGACGAAAGUCUGACGGAGCAACGCCGCGUGAGUGAAAAGAAGGUUUUUCGGAUCGUAAAACUCUGUUGUCAGAGAAGAACAAGUUGGAGAGUAACUGCUCCAGCCUUGACGGUAUCUGACCAGAAAGCCACGGCUAACUACGUGCCAGCCGCCGC